CUACGGGACGCACCAGUAGGGAAUAUUGCGCAAUGGACGAAAGUCUGACGCAGCAAUACCGCGUGAGUGAGGAAGGUUUUCGGAUUGUAAAACUCUGUCAAAGUGGAAAAACUGCUUAAGGUCCAAUAGGCCUUAAGUUUGAUGGUACACUUAAAGGAAGCACCGGCUAGCUUCGUGCCAGCAGCCGCGGUAAUACGAAGGGUGCGAGCGUUGUUCGGAUUUAUUGGGCGUAAAGCGCGUGCAGGCGGAUUUAUAAGUCAGGUGUGAAAUCUCGGGGCUCAACCUCGAAACUGCGCCUGAAACUGUUUAUCUUGAAUAUUGGAGAGGGGAAUGGAAUUUCGCGUGUAGGAGUAAAAUCCGUAGAUAUGCGAAGGAACACCAGAGGCGAAGGCGGUUCCCUGGCCAAUUAUUGACGCUGAGACGCGAAAGCGUGGGUAGCGAACAGGAUUAGAUACCCCGGUAGUC
rnacentral:rRNA from 1 species